CUCGGCCCUGGGUGACAGCAGCCGCGCACAUUCUGCCCUGCGGGCACUGUGGGCUCUGCACCGCAUGAUCCACCCUGCUGUUGGAGAGCAGUGGAGGGUCAAGAUUCCCAUCCUGCUCUCGACUAUUGAAGCUUCAGGAAAUCCUGAGACCUCCCAGGACAAUGUGUGGUGGGAGCACCUGCUGCUGAAGUUCCUGAACAUGACACUGAAGAGCAUUGAUGACGAUGCCUGGAGCAGUCAGCUGAGCCUGGAGCUGCAGCACCAGACAGCCAGUUAUGCCUGCUCCUCCCCGGAGAAGGUGCGUGCUCUUGGCAGCGGCUGGGUUUCUGCAGCUGUUUGGUGGUGCUGUGGCAGGAGGCUGCAGAGAGUUUCUCUCCACAGUUUGCGCUUUUCCGUUCUAUUUUCUUGAUCAAAAGCAUUGUCCUUGGUCGUCUGCUCUCUUCACUGACCCGAAGGGAGAGCUUACUGGGGCUCUUUCUCUGUCUUUAGCUGCCAUUUUCCUGCAGAGUGGGGCCAGUUAUUCGGUGUGUGGGUGCUGGGGCUGGACUCUCUUGGUCCUUCCUAGGGAUGGGUGUGUUUCUGGGCCGUUCUUGUCCUGACCAGCAGGCUGCUGUGUUCCCAGCUCUUUGGUGAUGGUGGUCUCCUUCUUUCAGAGUUUCCUAUAUAAGGCACUUGGUACCACUUUGGCCUCUUGCCAGGAUGUUGCCCAUGUGAAAUCCCAGCUCCAGAAAUCUCUGAAGGGCACAGAUUACAUGAACGCUUCUGAGAGAGAGGUGAGGACCCUGUUCUCUCCAGACAUAUCAGGUCCUCCCGUGUCCUCACUUCUCUGUUGCUUUGUGUCUCGGGUUUGUUUGCUUCCUGGCCUUCCCUUGUCCUUUCCCUCAGACAGCCCCCUGACUUGUUGCGGGUCGGACGGGCAGUUCUAGUAUCAGGGAGAUGGGGAGGACUCUGGGGUCUGUCAGCCAGACAGCCCUGCUCACUCCCCAGUGCGUUUCUUGGCUUCCAGCACGUUGUGACCAUCCUGGCAUUCUCGGCCAAGGGCCACCUGGACCUCACCCUGGGCACAAUGGAGGACUUUGGUGUGGCUCUGAGUAAAGUGCAGGUGUCUGGCAUAGUCGGCCGCCUGCAGGUAAUGGAGCUGGGGGGUUUCUCGCACUUCCUUCCCCAAGAAACCCUUGAGAAGCGCAGCUUGGCGGUGGCUCCUCUCCCUGGUAAUGCCCUCUCCCAGGGAACAUGCUCCACAUCAGGUCUCCAGUGAUACAGAGGGGAACACAGUUUCUACUACUCAGGUUUUUCAUGUCCCAGGUUAAUGAGUCAACAAUUAACCAGCCCCUUUCAGGCACUGAGGCAACUACAUCUGAUGUUCACCCAGAGAAAGAGAUUGUGUCUUUCUCACAUCUUUCAGUUAGUCAUGGGAGAGGAGACAUGAGCCCUGUUGCCCAGCCUCAAAGUACCAGCUCCGAGUGCAUAAUCCACAUGCCCCAAAUGCUGUAAAAUGGGCCCUAAGGUUCUCCUCUAGGGCUCACCCAGCCCAGCGGAGCCGCCACCAUGGCUGAGCUGAGCACCUCAGCGCUCACAGGUGUUUGGGUCCAGGCCGCAUCCAGCAGGGCGUUCACGGUGCCCCAAACACCUGCCGAGAGCUUCAGCUUCAGCUUCUGCGCAAAGCACAACAGGCAGAGCCACCUCCUUCACACGGACAGACCUGCCGCAGCCUUCCUGAUGCAUUGUGCCCAGGGACUCCUUACUGCCAAAUACAUGAGGCGGCCCUGGGCACAAUGCAUCUGCUGCCCCAGUUCCUGUGGGUCACAAACUCUCCCCCGCCCCUGCCCCGACUUCCACGGCUCAGAGUGGCACUGCAGCUCUCUCUGCCCGAGUCACCCAGGCUGCAGGACAGAGAAGAUGAGGCAUCUGAAACAAAGCACUGAUGAUGGUGCUGUCAGAGCUGUGGGUCUCCUGUGAGUGGCAGGGAGAGCCGGUAUUGCUGCUGGGCAACUCCUUGGUCAGCAGUGACUCCUACUUGGGGGGCAGAAGGCAUGGGAAGCCCUGGUGUGAGUGUCAUGUCACCCUGUGCAGGACUAUCACCAAGGGAAAAGAGCCAGGACCCACAGGGCCUUGAUACUGGCCUACGGCCGAAUUGCUGUCCAUGCCCCCCGAACACAGCUGCUCCCCUGCGUGGAGCAUAAUCUCACCAGGAAGGUCCUGCAGUAUUACAUGACCAGCUGCCAGGUGCUUGGCAUCAACUUUGUCAAUAAGGUAAAUGUUCAAUGACCCCACCUCUGCCUGUGCUCUUCCCAGACCCCACCUGCAGGAGGCACAACGACCUUCCCCAGGCGGGAGUCCCUGCUGCUGGACCUGAGCAGGAUCCUGGGGCAGUAGCCAGCACAGCCCUGGCUCUGUUUAUGGGUCACCUGGGAGGGCAUCUGGUGGGUUUGUGGGGGGAAGCUCUCUGCUUCCC